ACAAAAUGAUUUGGCAGUUUGGGCUUCUUAAACGGAGGCCCGACUGUGCUGGUUGCUUUCCCUUUACUGGGGAGGCAAUUCAGUAAAACUCAUUUGUGAACUGUGUUUUGUCUCUGGCGGUGGGGUCUCCUUCAAUGUGGAGACCUGUCAACACUUUAGUAGUGUCGUGGACAAGCCGCCAAAGGUUUUUAUAACAACGCUACCUUUUUUUUGUUGUCUUACCAUUUUUGUACGAAUAAUAACAAAAA
rnacentral:misc_RNA from 1 species